GACUUCCAAUCUUCAUCUCACUUCUGUUUUUGAUUGUUUGACUUUGACUUUCAAUGUUAUUGGUCAACAUAUGAUGAUUGGUACAUUUUAUUUCAUUUAAUGCAUUUGUACUUUUGCCGUUUUAUUUCCAUCAUCCAUCUCCUUCUUCUUCCUCUUCUUAUUUUCUUUUUGAUCAAUGAGUUGAAGGUUGAUAAGUUAGCAUUGAUUAGGGAGACUUAAUCU
rnacentral:lncRNA from 1 species